UUAAGUUAUUAAGGGCGCACGGUGGAUGCCUUGGCACUAGAAGCCGAUGAAGGACGUUACUAACGACGAUAUGCUUUGGGGAGCUGUAAGUAAGCUUUGAUCCAGAGAUUUCCGAAUGGGGAAACCCAGCAUGAGUUAUGUCAUGUUAUCGAUAUGUGAAUACAUAGCAUAUCAGAAGGCACACCCGGAGAACUGAAACAUCUUAGUACCCGGAGGAAGAGAAAGAAAAUUCGAUUCCCUUAGUAGCGGCGAGCGAAACGGGAAGAGCCCAAACCAACAAGCUUGCUUGUUGGGGUUGUAGGACACUCUAUACGGAGUUACAAAGGACGACAUUAGACGAAUCAUCUGGAAAGAUGAAUCAAAGAAGGUAAUAAUCCUGUAGUCGAAAAUGUUGUCUCUCUUGAGUGGAUCCUGAGUACGACGGAGCACGUGAAAUUCCGUCGGAAUCUGGGAGGACCAUCUCCUAAGGCUAAAUACUCUCUAGUGACCGAUAGUGAACCAGUACCGUGAGGGAAAGGUGAAAAGCACCCCGGAAGGGGAGUGAAAUAGAACCUGAAACCGUGUGCUUACAAGUAGUCAGAGCCCGUUAAUGGGUGAUGGCGUGCCUUUUGUAGAAUGAACCGGCGAGUUACGAUUUGAUGCAAGGUUAAGCAGUAAAUGUGGAGCCGUAGCGAAAGCGAGUCUGAAUAGGGCGUUUAGUAUUUGGUCGUAGACCCGAAACCAGGUGAUCUACCCUUGGUCAGGUUGAAGUUCAGGUAACACUGAAUGGAGGACCGAACCGACUUACGUUGAAAAGUGAGCGGAUGAACUGAGGGUAGCGGAGAAAUUCCAAUCGAACCUGGAGAUAGCUGGUUCUCUCCGAAAUAGCUUUAGGGCUAGCCUCAAGUGAUGAUUAUUGGAGGUAGAGCACUGUUUGGACGAGGGGCCCCUCUCGGGUUACCGAAUUCAGACAAACUCCGAAUGCCAAUUAAUUUAACUUGGGAGUCAGAACAUGGGUGAUAAGGUCCGUGUUCGAAAGGGAAACAGCCCAGACCACCAGCUAAGGUCCCAAAAUAUAUGUUAAGUGGAAAAGGAUGUGGCGUUGCCCAGACAACUAGGAUGUUGGCUUAGAAGCAGCCAUCAUUUAAAGAGUGCGUAAUAGCUCACUAGUCGAGUGACACUGCGCCGAAAAUGUACCGGGGCUAAACAUAUUACCGAAGCUGUGGAUUGUCCUUUGGACAAUGGUAGGAGAGCGUUCUAAGGGCGUUGAAGCAUGAUCGUAAGGACAUGUGGAGCGCUUAGAAGUGAGAAUGCCGGUGUGAGUAGCGAAAGACGGGUGAGAAUCCCGUCCACCGAUUGACUAAGGUUUCCAGAGGAAGGCUCGUCCGCUCUGGGUUAGUCGGGUCCUAAGCUGAGGCCGACAGGCGUAGGCGAUGGAUAACAGGUUGAUAUUCCUGUACCACCUAUAAUCGUUUUAAUCGAUGGGGGGACGCAGUAGGAUAGGCGAAGCGUGCGAUUGGAUUGCACGUCUAAGCAGUAAGGCUGAGUAUUAGGCAAAUCCGGUACUCGUUAAGGCUGAGCUGUGAUGGGGAGAAGACAUUGUGUCUUCGAGUCGUUGAUUUCACACUGCCGAGAAAAGCCUCUAGAUAGAAAAUAGGUGCCCGUACCGCAAACCGACACAGGUAGUCAAGAUGAGAAUUCUAAGGUGAGCGAGCGAACUCUCGUUAAGGAACUCGGCAAAAUGACCCCGUAACUUCGGGAGAAGGGGUGCUCUUUAGGGUUAACGCCCAGAAGAGCCGCAGUGAAUAGGCCCAAGCGACUGUUUAUCAAAAACACAGGUCUCUGCUAAACCGUAAGGUGAUGUAUAGGGGCUGACGCCUGCCCGGUGCUGGAAGGUUAAGAGGAGUGGUUAGCUUCUGCGAAGCUACGAAUCGAAGCCCCAGUAAACGGCGGCCGUAACUAUAACGGUCCUAAGGUAGCGAAAUUCCUUGUCGGGUAAGUUCCGACCCGCACGAAAGGCGUAACGAUUUGGGCACUGUCUCAACGAGAGACUCGGUGAAAUCAUAGUACCUGUGAAGAUGCAGGUUACCCGCGACAGGACGGAAAGACCCCGUGGAGCUUUACUGUAGCCUGAUAUUGAAAUUCGGCACAGCUUGUACAGGAUAGGUAGGAGCCUUUGAAACGUGAGCGCUAGCUUACGUGGAGGCGCUGGUGGGAUACUACCCUAGCUGUGUUGGCUUUCUAACCCGCACCACUUAUCGUGGUGGGAGACAGUGUCAGGCGGGCAGUUUGACUGGGGCGGUCGCCUCCUAAAAGGUAACGGAGGCGCUCAAAGGUUCCCUCAGAAUGGUUGGAAAUCAUUCAUAGAGUGUAAAGGCAUAAGGGAGCUUGACUGCGAGACCUACAAGUCAAGCAGGGUCGAAAGACGGACUUAGUGAUCCGGUGGUUCCGCAUGGAAGGGCCAUCGCUCAACGGAUAAAAGCUACCCCGGGGAUAACAGGCUUAUCUCCCCCAAGAGUUCACAUCGACGGGGAGGUUUGGCACCUCGAUGUCGGCUCAUCGCAUCCUGGGGCUGUAGUCGGUCCCAAGGGUUGGGCUGUUCGCCCAUUAAAGCGGUACGCGAGCUGGGUUCAGAACGUCGUGAGACAGUUCGGUCCCUAUCCGUCGUGGGCGUAGGAAAUUUGAGAGGAGCUGUCCUUAGUACGAGAGGACCGGGAUGGACAUACCUCUGGUGUACCAGUUGUCGUGCCAACGGCAUAGCUGGGUAGCUAUGUGUGGACGGGAUAAGUGCUGAAAGCAUCUAAGCAUGAAGCCCCCCUCAAGAUGAGAUUUCCCAACUUCGGUUAUAAGAUCCCUCAAAGAUGAUGAGGUUAAUAGGUUCGAGGUGGAAGCAUGGUGACAUGUGGAGCUGACGAAUACUAAUCGAUCGAAGACUUAAUCAA
rnacentral:rRNA from 1 species